ACCCAUAUUAGUUUCUAAACAAUUGGUUGACGCUCUUUCUUAAAAUCUUUGUUUUUCUUUUUUACCUGGAGUUUAGAAUGUGUUUGAUGAAUUGCUUGGCUUAAUGAUUACUACGUCUGAUGUAUGUUUUGGAAGGUUUUUCGUAGAUGAGUGUUAGCUUUUAGAAAUGGUAAUUGGUUCAGAGAAGCAUUGAGUCAUUGAGUCUAACAUUUAUCGUUGUUGUUAAGUUAGUACUGCUGAUAAUUGGUACUUAGUUGUGUUGUCAUUCAUAAGGAUUGGAGUUCUGGGAUGAAUUUUGCGUUACAUUGG